CACGUAGGGCGCAAGCGUUGUCCGGAAUUAUUGGGCGUAAAGAGCUCGUAGGCGGUCCGUCACGUCCGCUGUGAAGACCCAGGGCUCAACCCUGGGCUUGCAGUGGAUACGGGCAGACUAGAGGUAGGUAGGGGAGAAUGGAAUUCCCGGUGUAGCGGUGAAAUGCGCAGAUAUCGGGAGGAACACCCGUGGCGAAAGCGGCUCUCUGGGACGGUACUGACGCUGAGACGCGAAAGCGUGGGGAGCAAACAGG
rnacentral:rRNA from 1 species